GAUGAACGCUGGCGGCGUGCCUAAUACAUGCAAGUCGAGCGAACGGACGAGAAGCUUGCUUCUCUGAUGUUAGCGGCGGACGGGUGAGUAACACGUGGAUAACCUACCUAUAAGACUGGGAUAACUUCGGGAAACCGGAGCUAAUACCGGAUAAUAUUUUGAACCGCAUGGUUCAAAAGUGAAAGACGGUCUUGCUGUCACUUAUAGAUGGAUCCGCGCUGCAUUAGCUAGUUGGUAAGGUAACGGCUUACCAAGGCAACGAUGCAUAGCCGACCUGAGAGGGUGAUCGGCCACACUGGAACUGAGACACGGUCCAGACUCCUACGGGAGGCAGCAGUAGGGAAUCUUCCGCAAUGGGCGAAAGCCUGACGGAGCAACGCCGCGUGAGUGAUGAAGGUCUUCGGAUCGUAAAACUCUGUUAUUAGGGAAGAACAUAUGUGUAAGUAACUGGGCACAUCUUGACGGUACCUAACCAGAAAGCCACGGCUAACUACGUG
rnacentral:rRNA from 1 species